rnacentral:ncRNA from 1 species
UUUUUGGCUUUGGAUUAUUUUUUGGCUUUUUUUAUUAUUUACAUGAGAAUAUAAGUUUACUAAUUUUUUUUUUUUCCUUAAUGGGCAAAUGGAGUAGCUUCAGUGAAUAGUUUUAUAGAUUAAAUAAGUUUAGAGAUAGCAAUAAAAAAAAGAAAUAGCUAAUUGUGUGCCAACUGCUGCGGUUAUACAUUUAUUUCAAGUUAAAAUUUUCAGUAAAAAUAAAAUUGUUGAUAAAUUUUUUUUAGAAAUUAAUUUUUUGUUUUUUGGUAAAAUAAGAAUAGUAAUUAUUGUGUUUUCUGUUGUUUUUUUUAUUGUUUUUAAAAUCUGGUUUAAAACUGGGAUUAGAUACCCCAUUAUUAAGAUCUGAAUUUUUUUUCUAAGGUAUUAAGUUUUUGAAACCUAAAAAGCUUGGCGGUUCUUUAUAUCCUGUUAGGGGAGCCUGUUUUUUGAUCGAUAAUCCGCGUUUUAUCUUACUUUUUUUAGAUGUUUGUAUACUUCUGUCGUCAGCAAACUUUUAAAAAUUAUUGUAGUUUGCUUUAAAAUUUGUGUUUUUACGUCAAGUCAAAGUGCAGCUUAUAAAUUAGUUGAAAUGGGCUACAUUGAUUAAUUUUUCGGAUUUUAGAUGAAAAUUGAAAGUGAAGUUGGACUUAAUAGUAAAGAUUUUAAGAAUAUUUUCUUGAAUUUGGUUUGAAGUGUGCACAAAUCGCCCGUCGCUCUUUCUGAUAGGAAAGAUAAGUCGUAACAUAGUAAAGGUAAUGGAAAUUGCUUUUAGUUU